rnacentral:misc_RNA from 1 species
AACGCAACUUGCACCUCUUGGGCAACCAAGAGGUAUGUCUGUUUGAGUACCUGAUCCCCAUCUUGCCUCUAGUUAGAGGCAGACUUGAGGUCCUAGCUCUCCUUGGGGAGGUAGACCUUUAAAUGGAGCAAGCUAAGGUAUUAAAGACCUUGGCUAUGUGCUAGAGACCAGCUCGGUCUUGUCAUAACCAAGAGCUUUAUAACCGAGAGCUUUUAGCUCAAUUAUAUAAAAAAGGUCUCAAAUCAGGCAAGACUACCCGCUGAACUUAA